GCCUGCCUGGGCCUCCCAAAGUGCUGUUAUAGGCGUGAGCUACUGUGCCAUGCUCUGACGCUACAUUUCUAAAUCUGUUUAUCUGUAAAAUAAGAAUUACACUAUAUUUUAAAGAGGAUAUUUGCUAAACUAAAAUCAGCUGACAUAGGUGAAAUGCUUAGUAUUGUACUUGGCACAUGGUGGGUAAUCAAUGACUUUUGAAUCAGAUCCCUUAUAUGAUUGGCCCCAAAGAUAAGUUUAUUAGUGGAGGGAGAAAACCACGCAUGUGCCAGAACAUUCAAAGGAAUACUUUGCCCUUCAGAGUCUUCACGAUAGAAAGUACUAUUUGUAUUCAAGGGAUACUUGCCUUGAUAUGUAGAUAUAUAUAUGAAAGCUCUGUCUACCUAUCACUUACCUAUGUGUCUAUGCAAUAACCUUAAUGAUUGCAAAUAUUUUGUAAGGGGAGAUUUGACUUUUCAAAAAUAAAAAGUUAUUUGAUACUAGAUGAAGGACUACUUCCACUAAAUAAUAUGGUUUUUAAGUCAAAAUCAAAAUGUUAUAAAGAGACCAUGGCCUUGUGGGAUUCAUAUAAUGUCUGAAGACAGCUCUAAAAAAUGAGAGAUGGUAACUACAGGGGAGUGAGUACACUGCUUCCAUGUGGGGAUGCUUUGAAAGGAGGUCUGAUGCCAUUGACUAUAGAAGGUUAUGUUAUGUGUAUUAUCUCAUAUUUUAUAUAUCAGGUAUCAGUCCUAUGAACAAUCCUUAAAGAAACUUUAGUGGGACUGGUUUUAGAUAAUUCAUCUAAGGACAAAUAAUAAUUUGAUACUUUGCAAACUUUGAUCCACUGAAGCGUUUUAUUUCUACCAAAGACUGAUUGUUAAUAGUUUGUUCUAAGGGAAUAAUAUUCACUAUCUUGGAGAAAAUAGCUAUAAAACCAUACUGUUAUCAUUUUGAUUUUUUUGAAGUGCACAAUUGCAGACUCUUCCUCAAGUCUUUCAAAAACAUGUCAAAAUGAAUCCCAUGAGGGAAAGAACUUUAUGUCUUAACUCAUGAAUCUAUGAAAUCUGAGUUGACAAUAAUACACAAAAUACAGACAUUAUAUGAAUCCCACAAAGCACACAUAUCUUUAUUCUAGCUUUGCCAUUCUUGAACAUGUGGCUUUCAGCAAGUUUCUUAACUCUUCUUUUUCUUCCUUGUUUACAAAAAAAAUGAGGAUACUACUAGUUUAUGCCUCAAAUAAUUGUUUAAAAUAUUAAGUGAAUUUGUACAUGUAAAAUGCUUUGGUAUUUGACACAAUAUGUGAGCUCAUGCAUACUAGUUGUGCUAGAGUUAGAGGAGAUUAUGUUGACUUUUUUUUUUGCUAGUUAUAUGUCCUUGGUGCUUCACUAUUUUGCAUAUUUCCUAUGUCUCAAGACAAGAGGAAUGUUUGUCUUAAAAUAUACUUUUGAGGAUGUGCACACCAAAGUGUUUAAGGGCAGAAAACUGCAGGGUAGUGAACAGUGAUGGUAUUUGCUGCUCUAUUUACGGCUUUUUUAGCUGCCAGUUGCCCUAGAACUACAUUGGCAAACUCCCAGCAAUAACUAGCACCAUUUAGUCCUGUAAAGAAAGAGUUGCAACUGAUCCAGCAACAAUCAUUAGACACUUCCUGGGAAACAUCCUCAAGAUCUUAAGCGAUUCCUGGUUCAAUCACCUGUUUUAUUGUCUUCAACAAACUGAAGAGCAAUCAAUUGUUUAUGAACUCACCAUAAAGAAAAUAUUCUACUUCUGCAUCUAAUUAACUUGUAUCUGUCAAAGAAUUUAUAGAUUGUAAGUGAACUUGGCAUUGGCCAUUGCUUAUUAUGCUUCCUGUCUGGCUCUUACUCAUGUUGCCAUUUUGUGGACUAAAACUCAAGGCAGUUCAAAAAUACUGAUAUGCAGGUGCCAUGGAUGCUGUUGGAGUGUGUGUCCUAAGAGAGAGGGUAAGUGCUGGUUUUCCAUUUUAAACAUAGCUCGUGAUAUCAAGUUGCCCCCUCCCUUCAUUCCCUGACUCCCGUCUUCCUCCAAAAGCGGCUCUCUUGGUUUAGUAAGCAUCUCUACCCUGCAAAGCGGAAAUAAUGAAAAAUGAGAUUCACUUUGCAAGCUUGUUGGGUGAGCUUCUGGAGAAUAAUUUUUACCAAAAGCCUGAAAUCAUUUGGCAUUGUUGGUGUUUUCAAUGCAUCUGCAUCACAGCACAUUGCAUUUCACAUCUGGCCAGUUUGGAAUGAAACUUAGAAAAUCACCAGACUAUAGUGAUGUAAUUGUCAUGAAGUGGUUUUUGUAGCUUAGAGAAAAGAAAAACACUUGGCUGAAAGAAUGGUCUGAAGUCCCACCCAAAGUAAAACAUUCUAAAUUAAUAGUUGCCUAAAGACUACAGUAUUAUUAGACUUCUAUUUAAAAAAAUUCACAGUUCUAAUCAAAGAAGUGUAAUUGGAGUUUCCUUUUUAAAUAUUUGAAGACUGUAUUUACUAUUUUGAUGUUCAAAUAUUAGAUCUAUAUUUAGAAGGAAGUCCAGAGGCAUUUUAAGCUAAAUAGGAAUGUGGAUUCCUAUUCAACUUACUAUUGGAAAAAUACAUUGUCAUUAUAGACUUUUUAAAGUAUUAAGUAGCUUUUAAAAAACAUUAUAGGACUGUUAUAGCUAAAUCCUUUUAAUAUCUUCAUUACUCUUAAUUCUCUAGGAGUUUAGUAACAUUUUGCUUUUUUUGGUAAAAUUUGAAGUCUAAUUUACUAGUUGGCUAUUUCUUUACAUUGAGAAUGGUUAUUACUUUUUCACUCUGAACAAUUGAAAAUUAAGAAAAAUUACACUUAAAUAUAAAUUCUUGAUGGUUUUCUUUGCUGUUCUUUUCAUUUAUUAUUGGAAAACAGAUACUGCAUUAAAGUAUUUGUUGAAAUAUGCCUAAGUGUGUUUUCAGAUUGGCAUACUUAGAUAGUACCUGGAUUCAUUGGUUUCCUAUUUAUUAUAGCUUCAUCUGGGAUAAAUGUAUAGAAAUCUUGUCAUUACCUUUAGAAAUUUUAUUUGAGUGGCUCAAUGUUACGAGUAUUCUAAAUGCUAACCUAUUUCAUUUUGAUUUUUUUCUAAGUGAAUAUGUUUAGGUGGUAUGAUUCUUUUAACUCAUAAUUAUUAUGCCAUUGUGACGCAUUAAUUUUUGGCAGUGAUUAUUGUUAAAGUAAACAAAUAUAUACCCCCCACCAAAGCACCAAGUUUCAUACAAGUUUUUAAACAACCAUUUCUUUCUUUUUAGAAAAAUUGAUACAUAAUAAUUGUACGUAUUUUAGAAGGCACGAUGUGAUGUUUCCAUAUAUGUAUAUAUUUGUGUAAUGAUAAAAUCAGGGUAAUUAGCAUAUCCAUCAUCUUAAACAGCUACCAUUUCUUUGAACAACCCAUUUCUAAAUGCUGGAUGGAUGUGUGAAUAAAUGCCAUUUUAUAAUGGUGGUUAUUUUCACAACAAAUUAAUAUAUUUCACAUUUCAUAAAUUAGGGAUUAUGAAUUAUAAAUAAAAUAUUUUUCCCACGUAGUAUUUGCAAAGUAACUGCUUUCACUGCUAAUGGGAAAAUGUCCUUUUAAAAAAAAUUUGGAUGUAAGAACUUUCAAGAUGAGGCCUUGAGAGAACUGGGCACGAACUUCAGACCUGUGAAAUUUUUAGUUUACCUCCUUCUGGACCUUGAAUCUUGUAAAUUUUCUUUAUAGUUUAUUCAUCAGAAAUUAAAAUCUCAAUCAACAUUAUGCUUUGACCCAAUAAGCAUCAUACUACUAGUUUCAAAUAUCGUGGAUUUUACUGGGAUACUCCUGGUCACACAAGUAUUUAAUUCUGAUUAGAAGCAGAGUCAUGUCUGCAUCUGCUAAAAUCCAGAGCCUUUAAUCCUGGCAAAACUGGAGGUUCUUCAGAAGCCCGUGAAACUUAAAGGUAGCUUAAUAUACAGUGAAUUGUGUUUAUGUUUGGAGUAUAUGGUUCACAUCAUAACACAUUUUUGAGUCCCCAAACUUUGGAAAGAUGCCCCAGCCACAUCUUUCUCUUUAAUAGAAGUUCGGAAAUAGCCAAAGUUGUUAUUCCCAGGUAAGCUUUCUAGAGUCACUUUGGGAUUUUCUUGAGUGAUUUUGUUUGCAUUAUGUGUCAUUUGCAUAGUCCUUUAAAGGGUGCUGAUGUUAACUGAGUUGCUUCCCUUGUAGGAGCAGAAUCAUUUUAAUAGCUGUUAUAGAAGAACAGCACUUUUUUGUUAGUAAAAUAAUACAACUGGAUGGGAAGGAAAUAACUGUAUUUGCAUAUUUUCCUGCAUCAGUGAGCACUCUCAUCAGUUUUAUUUUUUAUAUUUUAAAAAAUAUAAAAUAAUCACCCAGUCCUUUUUUCUCUUCUGUUGUGCUCUUCUGAGAAAAUAGGUUUGGGGGGUUUAUUGUGAGUAUGAAUACUUAAUUGGGUGGAGAAACUUGAUCCAGGUGGCUGCAGAAGCAAGUUGUUUCUGAGGGCUGGCUGGACAAAUUUGAACCUGCCCCACACAGUGAUAUUCGCCAUUUUACUGUGUAAACCACAAUAGGUUGUUUGAUCUGCUUGAGAUCGCAAUAUAUUUAAUUGUGCUUGGAAAAUACAGUUUGGAGGUUUUGUAAAAUCAAAAAAAAGAGCUUUUUAAAAAUAGUCUAACUUAUUUCAGAGUUUUUUAAUACAGAUGCUGGAAAUUUAUGGGGUCCAAAAGAAACUGGAAUAUUCUGAAAGAGUUGGAGUGGGAGGAAAUGAGGACUUGGGGUGUUCAUUGUACCUCUGGAUCCUCCUCUGCCAAAAGGAUUUUGUAGCAUAAGGAAUUGAAGAUGUCAUAGCUUUGGAAAUGCCAGUAAAUGUAAGGUUGAAUUCAGAAUCUUGAUCAGGAAGAACUUCCGGUUCUUUCCCUGAUGAAAAAUAUGGUCUCUUGUAAUUUCCAGAAGAACAAUUGCUAAUGCUUAAUUUGAACAAAAAUUAGUCUUCAAGAACUAAAAUAUUAAAGACAAAAUAUAUCUUGGUAGAUGAAAUAAAAGAUUAAUGUUUAAUAUAAAAUAUUAGGCAAAUGAGAUGAGUGAAUUUUUUUAGUCUGCAAGUAAAAUGUCAACUCUUUCAAAAAUAUAAUUUAUAUAUAUAUCUUUUAUGCUAUAAUUUUUAAAGGUCAUGCAUUUUAUAAUUCAUGUUGAUUAACACUAUGUAUAAUAGUUUUAUAUAUUUGGAAUUCUAGAUUAUCUCUAUUUAAAGAAAACAUUUUACUAUAAAAAUCACGCACAAAAGUGGAGACAAUGAUUUAAUAAAUCCCAUCUUGCAAGCUUCAACACUUUGCCAUAUUGCUAUUUUGUCAUUGGGGGUAGAGAGCGCUGAAAUAUUACAAAAUGAAUCUUAGACAUAUCAUUUGCUUUUAAAUGCUUCAUAUACGUGUCUAAAAAAGGGAGUUUUUUUUAGAUAACUACAACAAUAUUCACACAUAGAAAAGUUAUAAUGAUCCCUUCAUAUGCUCUAAUCCCUAGUUUACAUUCAAGUUUCCCUUAUGGCUCACAUAUGCCCUCUGUAGCUAGUUUGAAUCUCAAUUCAAGUCAGUUUCCACUCAUUGCAUUUGUUAUAUCUCUCAAGACUUAAAUUUUAGAACAAUUUCUACUUUUCCCUCCUCUCUGUUUCUUGGCAUUGAUAUUGAUGAAAUUUGACCAGGGGUCCUAUAGAAUGUUCUGUAUUCUACAUUUUUCUUAUUUCAUCCUAGUUGUAUUUUUUAAUUUGUUCCUCCAUCCCCCAUACUUCAUGCAAACUAGAAAUUGAAUCUGAGGGAUUCUAUUAUUUUAAUAUUUUCAACAAGAAUACUUCAUAGAUGAGGUUUUGAUACAUUCUCUCAGUAUCCCAAACACAUUUGUUUAGUAACUAAUGUCAUUUUAUUCCACUCUUCAGAUGGACUUCUUGCUGCAAUAUUCAAAAGUAAUUACAUUCUGGGGGGGAAAAAAGCCUUUUCCUACCCAAUAAGUCUUUAUUAUAAUCAAAUCCUUAUGGGAGUAAACUUCAAUUAAUUGAUGCAUGAAAAAUACCAGAGACAAAGUGAACCCUUUAAUUUCUCUAAAUUUGGCUAUGCAUAAAGAAAGCUGCACCUACCAUGCCUGUCAUAAACUGUCAAUGGCCAGUCAGACUGAACCUGCUGCCCUCACAUUGCCCCUGUUGUGAGCAAGUAUCUCCAUGCUCUAGUGAACUCUUACUGAGAUAGACCUACUAUUUGGAGCUUUGAUGUCCAUCAAGGUUUUACUCCCAUCUCUAUAUUAAAGCAUCAUGUUUUUAGGUUUUGGAUAAACAUCCAAUGUAUGUCUUUUAUGAGUAAAACAGAUCACAAGAAAUUAUGAUAUGUGUUUGGUUUGCUUACAGACCUUGCUGUAUCCAUUUGGUUCCCUCUUAUACUUUUGUAUUUUUAACUCAACAUCUCCAUUACUUCUAGUCAUAGGGCUUGAAAUUCUCACUGUUAGAAUCAUUCUUUUUGGUCUUUCUGGAAAUGUUUAUUAAAGAGAAAUCAAGGUAUCACAUUACUUGGGAAAAAUAACGCAUAUAUAAGACUCACUGUCACCUAAACCGAGAUGAUGAUCUCAGUAGGCACUAUCCAAAGAAUGUCUUGACCUUGGACAAACAUCUCAUCUUGGAAUUUUUCUUGGGCUCUGGACACCUGGGAAACAGCUUGUAAAGACCAAAUUCUGUUGUAGAAGUGGAGAACUUCAAAAGGAGAAUAUGAGAUAUCUUGGGAUUAUUGCCUCUGGUUUCUAAUAAACUGAAUUAUGUUGAUAAUGCCUAUCCCAGGCUCUGUGGUCUGUAGAAGGAAGAGUGGAUGAGGAGUAAAGAGAUACUGAGCUUCAGUCCUGGGUUCCAGGCACUGUAGCUUGGUGAUCAACAGCCCAAACUCCAGAUUCACAUUGGGUGGCCUCUUGCUCAUGUGACCUUAGAAAAUUUACUUAACUUUCUGAGAAGCCUCAGUUUCUGAAUCUGUAAAA
rnacentral:lncRNA from 1 species